AUUGAACGCUGGCGGAAUGCUUUACACAUGCAAGUCGAACGGCAGCACGGGGCAACCUGGUGGCGAGUGGCGAACGGGUGAGUAAUAUAUCGGAACGUGCCCAAUCGUGGGGGAUAACGUAGCGAAAGUUACGCUAAUACCGCAUAUUCUGUGAGCAGGAAAGCAGGGGAUCGCAAGACCUUGCGCUCUGGGAGCGGCCGAUGUCGGAUUAGCUAGUUGGUGGGGUAAAGGCCUACCAAGGCGACGAUCCGUAGCGGGUCUGAGAGGAUGAUCAGCCACACUGGGACUGAGACACGGCCCAGACUCCUACGGGAGGCAGCAGUGGGGAAUAUUGGACAAUGGGCGCAAGCCUGAUCCAGCAAUGCCGCGUGUGUGAAGAAGGCCUGCGGGUUGUAAAGCACUUUCAGUGGGGAAGAACGGAUACGGGCCAAUACCCCGCAUCACUGACGUUACCCACAGAAGAAGCACCCGGGCUAACUCCGUGCCAGCAGCCGCGGUAA
rnacentral:rRNA from 1 species